UGCCGGAUAGCUCAAUUGGCAGAGCGCCUGACUCUGGAUCAGGAGGUUCUAGGUUCAAAUCCUAGUCCGGCAGCCA
rnacentral:tRNA from 1 species